rnacentral:rRNA from 1 species
UACGUAGGGUGCAAGCGUUGUCCGGAAUUAUUGGGCGUAAAGAGCUCGUAGGCGGUUUGUUGCGUCGGCUGUGAAAUCCCGAGGCUCAACCUCGGGUCUGCAGUCGAUACGAGCAAACUAGAGUGUUGCAGGGGAGACUGGAAUUCCUGGUGUAGCGGUGAAAUGCGCAGAUAUCAGGAGGAACACCAGUGGCGAAGGCGGCCCGCUGGGCAGUGGCUGACGCUGAGGCGCGACAGCGUGGGGAGCAAACAGG